GAGCAGGGGAAUGGGGUAGUGUCUACAACCUGAACCUAUCUGCUCUUAGAAGUUAAGCAGGGUUUGGCCUGGUUAGUACUUGGCUGGGAGACUGCGUGGGAAUCCCAGGUGCUGUAGCCU
rnacentral:rRNA from 1 species